ACAGCGCUCCAUUCGUGGAGGUGGGGAUGGUGGUGAGGGAGUGAAUACUUCUGAAAAAUAAUCCAACGUACCACAACAUACCCCAGACCAUUAUAAAGCUUUGGCUUUCACUCUGUGAUAUGCAAAAUUUUUCACAUGUUUGGGGAGAAAUGUGACAUGAUCUGAUUGCCGAGUUGAGAGCAGAGUGAAGGGAGGAGUAAGGAUAAAAGCAGGUUAUAAUUCAGGUGAGAGAAGAUGGUGUGAAUGAGGGUGGUUGUGGUGGAGUUGUUAGAAGGGGUCAGGUUCUGAUUAUGUUGAUAUCUUUAACAUAGAGCUAAUAAGAUUUCCUGAAGGAAGGAGAAUUUAUGGAGGGAAAGGUGGCAGAAUUAAGAGAUCUAUUUUGGAAAUGUGGACUUUGAGAUGACGAUUAUCAUAGUGGAAAUGUCAGAUAAGUAGUUAGAUAUACAAGUGUGGAGUUCAGGAGAGUUUAGGGCUUGAGACACAGAUUUGGGAGUUAUUGGCAAGUAGAUGUCUUUUAAAACCCAGAGGCUGGGUGGACUCACUGAGGAAUGGAGAUAGAGGAGAAGAGGCCAAGAACAGAGCCCUGGGUAGUCUAAUAUUUAGAGGUCUGGUGGAGGAGGAAGAACUUCAAGAGGAUUUAAAAGUGUGACUGGUCACACAGGAGGAAAUCCAAGAGUGUGACAUCAUGGAAGCCAAGCGGAGACAAUGCUGCAAAAAGGAACUAGUCAACUUUGUUAAUGCUGCUCAGAGGCUAAAUAAGCUAAGAACAGGUCCAUUAGUGUGGCAAUGAGAGGUCUUUGUGGAGUAACAGAGGGAGAAGUACAGUUCGGUAAAUGAAAUAAGGAUAUGAAGACCACAUUUAUAGAUAAUUGGAGUAGAGAUGGUGGCCUUUAGGAAACUGGAUCAGGUGAAGUGUUGUUUUGCUUUGUUUUUAUUUAUUUUAAGAUAAGAGAUAAGAGUGGCUAUGAAAAUAAUCCAGGAAAGACUCCUGAAAUAGAGAAAAAAAGAGAAUUGGAGGAGGGAAGCCUCGGAGAAGGUUAGAGAAAUGGUUCUUUGCUAGGGUAGAGAUGUUUAAUUCAUUGUGUUAGGAGGGAUGGCAAAGAUGUGGAAUGUACAUAGAUGGGGAGAUGAGACAACUUCUGCCUAAUGGUUUAUAUUUUCCUCGAAGUAUUUUCUAAAUUUCAUUAACUGAGAAAGGGUAAGAGACAUGAGAAACUUGAAGGAAGAGAAGGCAGUGUGAAAUAGCAAACAUAUAGGAAAUGUAGUGGUAUUAUCAGAGCCCUUUUGAAAUCUGUGGUCAUAAAUUUCAGGUGAGACCCAUCCACAAUUUUCAGAUGCUUAGUGCAGGGGUGAGGUAUUACAAAUACUUUAACCACAGUUUUGAGUUUGCCAGACAAGUAGAAUGAAAGGAAAAGGUACAGGUGUUUUCCAGGGUGUGAUAUUAAUGAUAGACCAUGGAAUCUAAGCCAGAUGAAGAAAGAAGGGAGGACAUGGAGAGGGAUAAUGAGCUAUGGAAAUGAUCGAAAUAUUAAUUUCGAAUCUAUUUUCAAAUGUCCCUAAAAAUGUCACAAAAUGAGGAAGGGAAAGAUGGCAUCAGAUGUGUAAUUUUUAUAUGGUACUUUAUACCUUCAAGUACACUGAGAAAGACAUUUUAUAAUAUUUCUUUGACUUUUGAAUCUGGAGGUGGGUUACUAUCAAGAACUGUGAAGGGUCUGAGGUUCUUAAUACACUAGUCUGUUACUGUUUCAUGGAUGUCGACAAGGCAUGAGAAUCCUGGUUCAGAGACAAAAGAUAGUCUUCAUGGCACAGCAAACACCGUGAGUAUCAACUUAUUUCUGUUGCUUCCCUUUUUCCCUUAGUCCCCACAGGGUGACAUGAUGGGCCCAGAUGGAUGCUAUAGACAUAGCCGGUUUGUGUCAUAGCUGAGGAACAAGUUGCAAACGCUGUAGCACAGAGCAAACAAGCCAGCCUUCCUGCGCCCCAGAGAGUGAGCCAUUACACUGAAGUCAAGCUGUGGUCACCUUGACCUACUUAAUUGCCUAUGGGACUAGCAUUUGCCUGUGGAUAAAUAAGUCUUGCAGUUUGGCACACUCAGCAAUAAUAUGCAGGACCCCUCUGGGCCCAUGGUGAACUGUCUGUCCCAGUAGUUACACUACCUUCAAAUGGGUAAAAUGAGUCAUGAACAAGGUUCAUAGUUUACAUUUCAAUAAUUUAUUCUAAACAUAAAACAUUCCUUAACAUACACAUUUUCAACAUAUAUUUUCAAAACUACUCCUAUAAAUAUACCAAUAAAAAUUUCCAAGGUUGUCUCUGAAAUGUGCAAUAAGAAAUACGAACAAAACCAUGUGAUGGUAUAUAUAAAAAUACUCUGGAUUUCUCUAGGUUUAAUUAAAAUUGUUCAUUAUUUCCUAGAGGUGUUAGACCAUAAUGGUAAACUAUAUUCUAAACUGUAUAGAUCAAUUUUUACAUUUUUUUCCUCUAGAAUUCUUUAAAAAUAUGAUAGAAAAACUGAAUAUAAAUCAGAAACUCAGUUGCAUUAAAACCAGGAAGAAUUAAUAGGGAAGAACUUCCUUUCUUAAUCAAAAAGCUUUCAGUCCUGUUAGACGCACUUGAAAACCCUUACUAUCAAGAAAGGUAUGAAAUCUUUAGUGUUCCUGGAGGAUAUUUUGACACUCCAAAGGAGAAAAUAAGCAUGACUACAUUUUUAUGUUCCCUCUGUCCUUAGUCUCCAGCGGCUUGAGGGUGAGUGCUGAUGAACGAGCUUUGCUGCUUAUCCUUGGUUCAGGCAUGUUUGCUUAAAGUCAGGGCACCAGAGAAAUCCAGAAAAGGCUGUCGUUAAUUCAUCUGGCUUCAAUUACCUCUCUAUUCCAGCCUCUCCAGCGUCUGCUUUUCCUGGAAUGUGCCAGAAACACAUUCCCAUCUCAAAGGCUGUGCCUGGGCUAGUUCUUCUGCAGGAAACAUGCUAUCUCCAGAGAUCCUCAUGGUUCAGUCCCUCUCUGCCUUCAGGUUUUCACUGAAAUAUCCCUCAAUGGGGCCUACUCUGACCACCCUAUCCACCAGGCCAUCAAUAACCAAAAGCCCGAAUCCUGGAUGUAUAUAUUGCUACAUUCGUUAUAUAGAAUAUUUACUAUCUUUCAGUGUGAACUCCCCCCCACACCUUCUUGUUGUUUGACAAAAGUCAUGUUUCAUGGCCAGAAAAAUGUUAUUAAAUUUUAUGUCUUUAACUUGCAGUUCCCUUAAGGAGUAGAUGUGAAGCUUCACACUUCUGACCCCUGGUCCACAUGCCUGCAAUUCCCAGGCAUGAGGGCAACUCCUGGAACUCCUCACAAGGCCCCUCCAGCCCUGGCCCAGCUGGAGUGUGGGCGGCCGAGGGGACACAGGUUCGAUCCCUGGUCCGGGAAGAUGCCACAUGCUGUGGAACAACAGAGUCGUGCACCACAACUACUGAGCCUGCGCUCUAGAGCCCACAAGCCACAACCACUGAAGCCCCUGCACCUAGAGCCCGUGUUCCACAACAAGAGAAGCCACUGCAAUGAGAAGCCUGCGCACCACAACGAAGAGUAGCCCCUGCUGUCCGCAACUAGAGAAAAGCCCGCAUGCAGCAACGAAGACCCAACACAGCCAAAAAUAAAUAAAAUAAAUAAAUUUAUAAAAAAAGAAAAAAAAAGGAAAUGUAAACCUAAGGGCUGUUGUUGAAUUUUGCAAUUGGAAUGCCCUAGUCAGUUGUGUCAUGGUUUGAGGCACAGAUUUUAAACUUUUUGAGGUGCCCUAUGUAGAGCCCGAAUGCAUUGCUAUCUUUUCCAGUGUCAUGCCCUUUUAAAGUCUCUUUAGUCCAGUAGUCUGAAAGUGAGCACUUCAAAUUAGGCCAUGAUGACCACGUGACUGAUAAUAUUGAAGUGGGGCUAGUGUGGCUGAUGUUCAAAUUUUAUUUAAGUUUGAUUAAUGUAAAUGGUCACAUGUGGCUAGUGCCUACCAUAUUGGACAGUGCUUGACUAUGCCUGUGUUACAAGUUAGAGUGGGCAACAUCUUUAUGUCUAAAAGUGAUCCAGCCAAAGUUACUCUAUUCCUUCAACCUCACAAUGUUUCUGUUACUGUUCAGGAGAAAGAUUCAAAAAAAAUAAAUAAAUUCAGAGGUGUAGGAGAGGCAGCAGUUAGAAGUGUUUCAAUUGUAGGAGAGGGCUGAAAUUUUAGCAUACAAAACUCUAGUGUACUGUAACCCUCUUUAUUGCUCCUUUUUAUCACCUUUUUAAAAUCUAACAAUAUUCUCAAAAAUCUACUUUUAGAAUGUAAUGUAUAAGCAUGUUUUAAUCGACAUAUCCAUUCUUCUUAUUGUAUAUAAAUGUUAAUUCAUAAAAUUGGGACACAGUCCAAAGUUCAUAUAAAUAACCUGCUGGCACAGAUUAAUAAAAAUAAUUACAGCCAAAUUUGGACAGAAGUAAAGAUUUGACAAACUAAAGCAGGAUGUAACUAAUCUCUUAAGUGCUUUAAACUCUUAACGGAGAAGUCCUUUAACUUUUAGAAGUUGUCCUGUAGAGGAGGCUAACUUGACGUAUGCUGGUUUGUCUUACGAGUUAAGACAAAUCACAGACAGAGUAAAAUAAUAAAUGUUAAAGCCUAGAGGGACUUCCUUGGUGGUGCCGUGGUUAAGAAUCCGCCUGCCAAUGAAGGGGACACGGGUUUGAUCCCUGGUCCGGGAAGAUCCCACGUGCCGCGGAGCAACUAAGCCCAUGCACCACAACUAUUGAGCCCACGUACAACUACUGAAGCCCAUGCAUCCUGGAUCCCGUGCUCCACAACAAGAGAAGCCACCACGGAGGCUGCUGUCUCUUCAAUGGAUUUUGACCAGCCACCAAGAUUUCCAGCAAAGUAAGGAAGGAUGCUAGCAGAAAUCUGGUUCAAGUAAGAUACCUGUUUCAAAAAACAAAGCAAAACAAAACAAUAUUUUAAUUUCUUACUGACUUGGAGCUUUUUCAAGCAGGGAUCUCAAUCUUGUUGGUGUAGGGGAGGCUAUGACCCUAAUCUUUUGGGAAUGGAUCUGAAAGGAUGACCUUAGGAUUCCCUGGUGGGUGUGGGUGGACACAUUGCAGAAUUAGAGUUAAUUAGUAAAUCCAGGUAAAAGGUUCCUCUGUAUCUGUAGGAACAAAUUAAUCUGCAGAUGUUUCAUCAAACUUACGGUACAUGAACUGCUGUCAAUAGCACGGAUGAGAAAUCCAGCACUUAUGAUUUCACUUCUGCUGUACUGUGGAGAAGGUGGGACUGAUGGCAGAAUAACUGACCUCACUGCCACCGUGGUGCUUUGAAGACAGUGUUGAAAUUUGCCAUCUUAUAAUCAUUCCCAUGGCAACAAGCUGUGAGAAGACAAACAAACAUAGGGUUAAGACUUCACUGAGGGAAUCAAGCAGAUGGAAAAAUCAGGCUGUGAGGGAGAAAACCUUUAUUUAAACAUAAAUAUCUUUAGGAAGAGAAUGAAGAAAUGAGAAACUGACUAAAAGCAGCUUAGAAAGACAUGAGUUUGUCCUUUGCUAUGCUGCUCAUGAAUGCUCGGAUGCCAGCAAUGAUGCAAGAAACAGAUUUCAUAUUAGUAAAAGAAAACAGUCUUGAAGCAGCUUUUAUGGGGGAUAAAGAGAAGCAAGUAACUUAGUUAUGUUAAACCUGUAUUUCUGCAUCACUGAACCAAACACACAGAUGGAAACCUAACUGGAUCCAAAGAAGCAUUAUAAAUGAGAAACGCACUGUUGAUAUGACGGCCCCGGCCCCCAGACCACUCCUGGCAGUCAAAGGCCUCCACGCGCACUCCCACUUCGACACUGCAGAUGGGCGACAAGGGCAGUGGGCAGAGAACCUGAGCAUGCCAGGCCUACUCUGCCCACUGCCCCACCACCUCCUCCAGGGAAGGAAGAGAAUGAGGACCCUGGGUUGUUUCAUUGUCAUCUGCUAGUCUAUGCAACUGUUAACAUCCAUUUCAUCAGGUCGAUUGAUCUGAUGUACAAGCUCCUGGGAGCAUUUCUGCUUUACUCUCCCACUUUCAAGUGGUAAAAAGGCCACUGGAACUUUAUAUACCUUCAUGAACAUACUUUGGUAAUGGGGGAGGGGUGGUUAAAUUGUACCAAAGUCAAGUUUUCUCUCCUAAAAACAAUAGUCCUAUAAUUUAAAAGCAUCGAACACUGAAACUGGAUAGGAAACACAGAUGUUCUUUUUUACAUUUAAAAAGAAAAAAAUACUAAAUUAAAUCUUUUCUUUGUGUAUCAAGAAUAAUAAAAAUAACUGGGAAGUGGUUUGGACUUCAUGGUGAUAAAUGAUGGGUCCAUUAUGAAGUGGUUGACCACACAGUCACUGGGACUCUUUUGAGAGUGAAAGGAAGAAUGAAUAAUUAUGACAGGUGCAAAAACCAAGACCAUCCUGGAUCAAGUAGGACAUACAGUCACACUUAUUAUGAGACAAAAACCAACUUAUCCUAACAGUGUAAGGAGGCCUGAAGUGGAACAGUUAAAAUGUGUGUCUGUGGAUUUCGAAGAUUAAGUGAAGUUUAAAAAUAAUUAGAAGGAACUUGAUUUUUUUAAAAUAGUCACUAUACUUACCUCCAGAUUGAAAUAAAACAAAAAAUAUUGCUUAUGUGCAAGUUUGAAUUCAUUUAUAGCAGCCUAAGAGCA